UACAGAGGGGGCAAGCGUUGUUCGGAAUUACUGGGCGUAAAGGGCGCGUAGGCGGCCUGUUAAGUCGAACGUGAAAUCCCCGGGCUCAACCCGGGAACUGCGUCCGAUACUGGGCAGGCUUGAAUCCGGGAGAGGGAUGCGGAAUUCCAGGUGUAGCGGUGAAAUGCGUAGAUAUCUGGAGGAACACCGGUGGCGAAGGCGGCAUCCUGGACCGGCAUUGACGCUGAGGCGCGAAAGCCAGGGGAGCAAACGGG
rnacentral:rRNA from 1 species